AAGAAAUGAAAAAAAAAAUUGAAACAGCCAUUACUAAAAAGCUACCUAAAAAAAAGACUCCUAAAUUAUCCUUAGUCAAACUUUCAAUGGUUGGAAGCUAUUAUCUUCUCGUCUUUUCAAAUCACCUAUCCCAUCACUUCCAUCCGUCUGACAAUAGCUCUUCCCAAAAUUUGCUUUCUUUGCUAUCUACUUGUACAUCAGAGUCUUCCCUUAUCUUUUCAAUCCGGAUUUCUUGCCCAUAGUUUUGUUACCCCCCCAUUCUGGCGAUUCAACUCUCCAUCCUCCAGGUAACUUCUUUCACUUCUCUUUAAUGUUGUCUUCGCAAUGUUGUGAGCACUCAUGUUCUUCAUUUUCGGAAUGUGCUUAAACUCUAUCUUCUGAAAGCCCAACUUCUUAGCCUGAAUAUCUCUGAUAAUUGCUCUAAUAACUGAAUAAUCGAUUGUGGUUGACUGGCAUUUCUUUACUACUGUUAAUGAAUCUCCCUGUAUUUGUAUCUCUUGAAAGCCCAUCUCGAUUCCUAACUUAACUGCUUCUAAUCUCGCAUAUCCUUCUACUGCAAACGGAUAAGCAAUAUCAUAAUGAAUGAAUGAUUUUGAAGCCAAAUAUUUGUUCGUCUUUCCCCAAACCACCAGCCCAGUCGCCAAUUUGUGAUUUCUGGAGUCAAACGCAGCAUCAAACUGGAUCUUUAUAAUCGGUAAGUUCUCCUCAGUUUUUUGAUUACACACCAUAUUCAAUAGACUCUUCUUGGCUCUGACCCCUUCAUAUUCUGCAACGAGGUUCUGGACUUUUUGUGUAAGAUCAACACCUGUUGAAUAAACUCUUUCAUGCACAACCUGAUUUCUCGCGUACCAAAGUAACCAAAAAGCAUAGCAAAAAUAUCUGCACUGUUCAUCUGUUCCUUGUUCGAAGACCAUGGUAAGCCACUCCCAAAAAUUUGGUUGCAUAAUAUUUGUGAUCUAAUAAAUGCCAAACUUCCAUGCUUGCAGGACAUUACCUAAAAAUGUGAUAGCAGUUUUCUUCCCCAAAACCACAUUGAGGACAAACAGCAUUCGUCACUAUUCUUCUCUGUCUAAGAUUUGUUAAAGUAGGGAUGUUAUUCCAGGCAAUGUGCCAGAUGAUAAUUGUAAUCUUAGAUGGUAGUUAUAGAUUCCAUAGCUUUUCAAAAAAAUUCUUAUUUUCGGUCUGUAAUAAAUAAUUGCUAGGAUCCAGGUUAGCAAUUUGUAAUAGUUUAUAAGCACUACGGACUGAGUAUUCACCAGUCUGUUCACCUUUCCAAACUUGGAAAUCCUCAUGAGCUGACUUCGAUAAUGGGAUCUGUAGAAUUUUUCGAGCAACCUCCAAAUGAAAGGUAUUAUUAAUCAACUCUACAUUCCAUUUCCUAUUCACCCCAUCAAUAAGAUUCGAUACUAACUCUGGUUGUAAAUUGUCUGGAAUAUUCAGCCUUUCCAAUGAAUCAACUCCCUGGAUCCAACAAUCCUGCCAGAUAGAGACUUUAUUUCCUCUGCCUCUUCGCCAGCAUAAGCCUUUCUGAAGGAGACCCUUAGCCACCCAUAUGCUUUUCCAGGUGAGUGAAGGUAACCUUCCUAACUGUGCCUCUAUAAAAUUUGAAUUCGGAUAAUACUUUGCUUUUAAAACUCUGGCUAAUAAUGAAUUAGGAUAAUUAAUCAGACACCAUCCCUGUUUUGUGAGCAAUGCAAUAAUUAAUUAGACACCAUCCCUGUUUUGUGAGCAAUGCAAUAUUAAACUGACUCCAGUUUCGAAAACCUAAACCACCAUUUUCUUUUAGAAAACAAAGAUUCUUCCACGGGCACCAAUAUUUUGCUAUGAUACUUUCAAGUUCUUUAUAUAAAGAACUCGGCAAUAAGAAACAAGCCAUCGUGUACGUAGGAAUAGCUUGGAGAAUAGCUUUUGUAAAAAUUUCUUUCCUACCUUGUGACGGAAACUUGGUACUCUAAUUAUCAAUACGUUUUUUAAGACGAUCCUUUAAGUUUUGAAAGGCUUCCUUUUUCCUCCUCCCCACCAUAUUCGAUAGACCCAAGUAAUGCUCAGGCUCGCUUGAACUUUGAAUACCCAAAAGACUAACUACUAUUUACCUAUGUUCCUCUUUUGUGUUUUUAUUGAAAAAACUGAUGACUUAUUGAAAUUCACACUGUUUUGAGCAAAGUUUAUAUUCAUGCAAAAUGUUUUUAAAUACCUGCACCCCUCUUCUUGUUGCUUCCCCAAAAAUGAUACAAUCAUUGGCAAAUAACAAGUGAGAUAUUGGCGGACCAUUUCUACUAGCCUUCACUCCUUUUAAAAGACCUUCCCUUGUUGCUACUCACAUUAGACUCGAUAAGCCCUCACCAUAUAUAAGGAAUAAGAAAGGGCUUAAAGGGUCACCCUGUCGAAGUCCUCUACACGGCUGAAAUUUCUCUCCCAACUGACCAUUCAUAAUCACUAAAUAUGAUACAGUAGUAAUACAUUUCAUAAUAGUCUCAAUCCAUCUAGUUGCAAAACCCAUUCGUAACAUUACUUGCUUUAUGAAAUCCCACUGUACCUGAUCAUAUGCUUUACCCAUAUCAAGUUUUAUUGCCAUGAACCCUUUCUUUCCCACCAUUUUUUGCUUUAAUGUAUUUAGAAUUUCGUAAGCUAACAGCACAUUAGAUAUUAAUCUUUCUGGCACAAAAUCACUCUGCGUGGCAUCAAUACAUUUUCCAAUCACAACUCUAAAACGGUUCGCAUUAGCUUUUGCCAAGAUUUUAUACAAAAAAUUGAAAAGACUAAUAGGACAAAAAUGCUGUCAUGUUUGAAGGAUUAGAAAUCUUUGGGAUAAGCACAAUAUUUGUAGAAUUAAUCAAACUAACCUCCAUAUCACAAUUUAAAAGAUGUAAACAAAAUUCUACAACAUCAUUUCAAACAAUGGGCCAGCACUUUUGAUAAAACAGUCCAUCCUCUCCCGGCGCCUUCGUAGGUCCCAUUUCAAACACUACUGCCUCUAUUUCUUCUUUCGUAUAGUUCAUAGUUAGUUUAUUAUUGUCUUCAUCCUGGAUACACCGAGCAAUGCCUGAUAAUAGAUGAGCCAAAUCACUCAUUUGCCCUGUUGAAAAUAGCUUCUGGAAAUAUAAACGAGCAAUUCUUUCCAAUUCCUGUGAUGCCUCCGUUGCAACACCAUCUUCAUUUAGCAACUUUCGAAUAAUAUUUUUCUUUCUUUGUUGGGUUGCUUGGCUAUGAAAAAAGACUGUAUUUUUAUCUCCAUAUUGCAACCAAUUCAGUCGAGCCCUCUGUUCCCAAUAUCAUUCAUCCUUCUCAAUCUCAAAGUUUAAUUGAAUUUUUAUGUCGAUCAAUUUCGCUAGAUUAUUCCUCUUUCGAUUCAAUUGGAUUUGACCAGCCCAUUUUUCCAAUCCCCUCUUCACAUCUUCUAAUUUUUGCAAUAAAUCCCCUGAAGACAACUCCCAAAUUCAUUUAACUUCAUUGAAGAAAGACUCCUCCAAUGGCCAGCACACCUCAAAUCUGAAUAGUUUACAUUUUAACCUUUCCUCUUCCCGGCAUGUUUUAAUUAGUAUAGGACAAUGAUCUAAAAAACAGUGUACUAAAUGUUGUACUUUUACCCUUAGGAACAUGGAUAUCCAUCUAGUAUUAGCCACUCCUCUAUCGCGCCUUUCACGUAUAUUCGUCUCCGGAAGGUUACCUCUCUCCCAAGUGAACCAUCUAUCAGAAUAUCCUACAUCGAUCAACUGAAAUUCCUCCAAAGUUCUCCGGAAUUGAUCCAUUUUUCGUUCAUCCUUAGGUAAGCCCCUUUUCUUCUCAGACCCAUACAUUAUUUCAUUGAAAUCCUCACAAACCAACCACGGUAUAUCAUUAUCAGGACCUAGGCAUUUCAAUAUUUCCCAUGAAUCGUUUCUAUCGUGUGCAUAAAGAGAACCAUAGAAGCCUGUGAGUCUUCAUUUUUCUCGUAUUUCAGCAUCCUCAAUCUCGACAUCAAUAUAUCUUUUUGAGAAAGAUCAAAAUUGAACCGAGACAUCCAUUCUCCAUACCAUACAUAAGCCUCCUCGACUACCCUUUGAAUCAACCUCCAAACCAUACACAAAUCCAUAUUUCCAUCGCACUUGUUCCAUCUUUCUUUUGUCCAACUUAGUCUCCAUAAAUAAGACAAUUUGGGUAUUAUGCACCUUCAGCGUAUGUUGAAGUCACUGAAUUAUCCGUGGUCUCCUUAAACCAUAAACAUUCUAACUUAAAAUUUUCAUUGUGACCGGUCAGCUUGCCUCUUGAAAGCCGCCGAUAUUGAAUGAUUGAUCUCCACCAGUCUUCUAUUCCUUACCAAUAAGUUGUCAGUUUCCUCUCCUCCCACUACAUCUUCUAAAGCUCCUCUAGCUCUCUUCUUUCAUUCUUCUCCAAUUAUUACUCCCUCCUUUAGAUCAUGCUCCAUAACUGUAUUCAUCCAAUCCGAUAUCUUAUUUUCUUUUUGUAGAUCAAGAUUUGAUGACCCCCCUUCCAGAUUAAAACCUAAGAUUGGAUCAAUAAUCUUUCCUCCCCUUACAGUAUUAUUAGCACCUCAUAUUUUAUUUGUUGAACCUCGAAUAUACCUCUUUUCCCCUUCACUUUUACCAUCGUCAUCCUCCCUAAGGCAGAUGCUAUUCAUCGAUAAGGCUUUACGUGAUUGAGCGUGCAAGGAAAGAUCCCAACCUAGUUUAGCAACCUUCACCCCAAUCAGCAUUUUAGCUUCACAAAACGAAUCAUUAUGACCGAAUCGACCAUAAUAGAAGCAAAACAAAGAUAAUCGUUCAUAUCUAAAUUUGACAUAUGAACAUCUUCCAUUAAAUAUGACCUGUUUUUUCCUCUUCAAUGGUCUUCUAAUAUCAAUCUGAGCCCUUAUGCGCAUAUAAUUUUGAUUUCCUUUCCCAAGUUUGCUCCAUCGUAUUCCAAAAACUUCCUCCAAAAAUUACCCAAUUGUGCGGCUAAUUUUUCUGAAUAUAAACCAACUAGAACAUCAUGAAUUUGAAUCCAAAUAGGAGAAUAAAUUAAGGGAACUUUAAGCGGAUCUUCCCCCAACUGUAACCUAUAAAGGACUAACAGAUGAUUGUUGAAAGCCUAUGGAGAACCCUUAAGAACCCUUUCCAUGUUCAUAACAUGAAAAAAUUAAAAUAAAUAUUGUUUUUCUCCCAAAUCUGAAUCUGAACCCCACAAAUCGGAUGUCACAUGUCGAAACCGUUUUUUUGAAAAGAGGAAUCGACUUUGUUUGGAAACGAAAAUUAAAACGGGAGUCGCCACCGAUCUUUAUUAGGUGUGAUCGGAUCACAUUUUUUUUAAUAAAACAAUUUAGCUUACUAAAAUGGCAUUUUGGUCUACGGAAUUCAAGAGAACAAGUUCGGGAGUCAGUUACGUGCGAGGAAGGGUUAGCACCUUCGACACGCCCGAAAAAUUGGUAUCGAAUUGAUUAAUUAGUCUUAAUGUUGAAAAUUAAAAAUUGGGAAUGGAUUUAAAAUACGAUCCUUUUUAUUAACGUUAAUUUUAAAAAGUUCGAAUUAAAUCAAAGUGAUUGCUAAAGAUUUCCUCGUCUCGAGAUAUCGAAGUAUUACAUCCUGUAAGUUAGGACACGAUACCAUGAACACUCGAGCGCAAGUUGUCUUUAAUUUUAAUUGGAAUUUCGUGUAUUUUAAAACUCAAAAGGAUAAUUGGGAAUUUAGGACCAACGAGAAAAUUGAAACUUCGUAAGUUAGGGCAUGGUUUCUCGAUGUUCCAAAACGCGAAACAUUGCUUUAUUUUGAAAUUUCGUUUUGAAAUAUAGCGAGUAUGAUAUUUAACGAUGUGCAAUAUUUGUUUGAAUUAAAAAAUAAUAAUUUAUUGGAUAAAUAUAACGAGGCUUGAUUCAUGAGGCGAUGAUAUUACAUAGGAAUAUAGUAAAUGUACAUAGAAUAAUAAUGCAUGGAUACAAAAUUAUAAUAAUGCAUGGAUACAAUAUUAUAUGAAUGAAUAACAAUAAUGCAAAAAUAUGAAGUAAACGAAUUAAAAUACACAAUAUUAUAUGAAUGAAUAAUAAUGCAAUAAUCACACAACAUACAUUAUUUAAAUACUAAUCAUUAAUAAUCAAUGACAAAUGAAUUAAAUUAAAAAAAUUUACAAUGCAAAUUAAAAUGAAUAAAACGUAGAACAAAUUUUAAAAUGAUAAGAAAUGAAUUUAAAAUAAAUAAUGAAAAAAGAAAUUUAAUCAACAAUGUACAAAACAAUUUAAAAAUAGAAUAUAUGUAUAAACAAUUUUAGAAAAGGUAAUAUAGGCGAAAGUUUGUAAUAAAUAAUAUACGGGAAAAGUUUAAAAUGAAUAAUAUGUAAAAUAAUUUAAGAUAAUUAAUAUAUGAAUGAGUUUAAAAUAAAUGUUAUGUAAAAAGAAACUUAAAAUAAGUAUUAUACAAGACAUCUAAGAAUUAACUAGUAUAUAUAUAAAAAGAUAUAACAAUUUGAAAUUGAUAAUAUAUAUAUAAUUUUAAAGUAAAUAAUAAAACAAUUUAAAAUGAAAAAUGCAUAAAGCGAGUUUAAAAUAAAUAGUGUAAAAGAAUUUUAAAAUCUAUAUUACACAAAGCAAAUAAAAAAGAUACAUAUGAAUAAUUUUAAAAUAGAUAAUAUAUAUAAAUAAAAAUGUAAAAUAAAUAAUAUGGAAUAAGUAGAAUGGGUUUAAAAUAAGGUAUAUAAAAUAAUUUUAAAAUAAAUAAUAUAUAAUUUAAUUUAAAAGUAAUAAAUAAGAAGUUUAAAAUAUAUAAUACGUAAAAGAAUUAAAAUUAGACACUAUAAAUAUACUUUGUAAUAGUAACAGUUCAAAGAUAAUAAAAAGAGAGUUAUUUAAAAUACAUAAUAUACAAUAACUUAAAAUAUAAAAUAAUUUGAAAUAAAUAUAUAAUAAUUUUUAAAGAAUUAUAAAUAUCUAAAAAGCUUGAAAUAAACUAUAUGUAUACAUAUAUAUAAUAGGUAAGGAAUAAAAAAAUAAAUAAUACAUAUAAAAUAGAUUAAGGUAACAUAUAUAUACAUAAAGCAAGUUAAGAUAAAUAAUAAGAAUUUGAAUAAUCAGUACAUUAAAAUAAGUUAGAAUAGAUGUAAAUAAGUAACAUAUAAAAUAUUUGAAAUAACAUGUAAAUGAAACAUUUAAAAAGGGUUAAUAAAUGAAUUAAAUAGAUUUAGGACAUGGCUAAAAAUAAAUUAAAAUUCGGGGUAUAAAAGUAUAAAUACUGGAAAGUUAAUUAGGGAUCAAAAAGAAAACCAAAUAGGAUUUGAGGGCUAAAUUUAAAAAAACAAAAGAAGAUAGAAAAUGGGGCCUGAUUGAAUGGGGGUUGAAAAGGGGAAGGACCAAUCGCAUAAAUCUCCCUUUUAAGGAGAAUGCACAAACCGCCCACUACACCAAACGGCAUCAUGUCGUCAUCAUCAUUUAAACCAAAACCUUUUUUUUUUUAAUUUCAUUUUCAGCCCCUAUUUUUUUAAGAAAACAGAAAGCUUUUUGCUUUCUCUCCUUCCCCUUUUCUCCCCUAUUUCUCUCUUUUUGGCUAGGGCUUCAUAUACCCAUCAUCGUUGCCGUCCGACCACCGCACCACCACCGUAUUCGGUGGCCAGCGAUGCGCCAAAAUGGGCCCUUAGCCUCAUCUUGAAACACCCUAGAGAAACCAGCCCUCAAAACCCGAAAAAAAAGAGUUGAAUAGAAAUGGUUCUCAACCCCUUCGGGUUCGAUUUUGACAACGGAGGAGGACCCUCCGGCACUGCAACCGUGGGAAACCAGUGAGUCUCUUCUUCUCCCUUUUUGUUUAUGUUUCUAUUUAAAAUCGUUUUUGGUAAAGAAAUGAAAAAUACAAAUAAAAAUGUAAAUCGAAAGAAAACAAGAAAAGUAAAUCGAAAUCAACCUUUGCCUUUGCUUCUAUUCUGUUUUUUUUUUAAUGUUCGUAACCGUUUACAAAGAAAAGAUAUUGGCUUUUAAAGCCAAUCUAAAAACUGUUGGUUUCAUAGUUUUUGUUAUUUUGCCAUUUAUUUCUCUGUCGAUCGCGUGCCUUCUUGCUGUUAUUUUUUGAUUUGGUUGCAGGUGUUGCGACGCGUGGAAGGGGCAAUGUUCAGGGGCGUGGUGGCUGAGGGGAGGCCAAAAGUCGAGGGGGAGUGGCGGCUGAACUUUGGUGGCUAGGGUUAGGGUGACUGCUGAAAAAAAUUAAAGAUAGUUGGCUAGGGUUUAGUUUAUUUCGGGCCUGGUAAUUGGGUUUGAGUUUGGGUCUGAUUUUGUAAUGGACUUUAAUUAUUUGGACUUUUAAAUCUGUUUAUUUGAGAUUUAUUUUUGUAAUUGGGUUAGACCAAAAUUGGCUAUUACACCACAGAUUUGCCAUCGUUCUUUUCAUAGCUGGAAAGUGAAAAAUAAUUGCCGUUAAAAAAUAACCUACUAAUUGAAAUUCACCCCUUUCAUUACCCAAGCCAGGAUCUAAAUGGAUCUGCAAAAUUUCAUUUUUCUUCUUCAUUGAGUGACAGAUCUGCUAACUCGUUUUCCAUUGAUGCAG
rnacentral:lncRNA from 1 species